AUUGAACGCUGGCGGCAUGCUUUACACAUGCCAGUCGAACGGUAACAGCACUUCGGUGGCUGACGAGUGGCGAACGGGUGAGUAAUACAUCGGAACGUGCCUAGUAGUGGGGGAUAACUACUCGAAAGAGUAGCUAAUACCGCAUGAGAUCUAAGGAUGAAAGCAGGGGACCUUCGGGCCUUGCGCUACUAGAGCGGCUGAUGGCAGAUUAGGUAGUUGGUGGGAUAAAAGCUUACCAAGCCGACGAUCUGUAGCUGGUCUGAGAGGACGACCAGCCACACUGGGACUGAGACACGGCCCAGACUCCUACGGGAGGCAGCAGUGGGGAAUUUUGGACAAUGGGCGCAAGCCUGAUCCAGCAAUGCCGCGUGCAGGAUGAAGGCCUUCGGGUUGUAAACUGCUUUUGUACGGAACGAAAAGCCCUCUUCUAAUACAGGAGGGUCAUGACGGUACCGUAAGAAUAAGCACCGCCUAACUACGUG
rnacentral:rRNA from 1 species